rnacentral:tRNA from 1 species
GGUAGGUUGGUGUAAUCGGUUAGCACACUUUCCACGUACAUAAGAGAUGUGGGUUCAAUUCCCAUGCGUACUA